ensembl:processed_transcript RIKEN cDNA 2010001A14 gene
CGGGCUAGAGAGGACAGCGGACCGCAGGUUUAGUCCUGGCUGUGGAGUUGGGAUGCUGAGAUGGGUCUGGAGAGAUGCAGGAUGUUCUAGUCCCAGUUAGGAUGGUAAAUAGGGUCCUCGCUCCGAGGAGGGAUGCUGAACGGGGUCUGGAAGAAUGCAAGAUGUCCUGGUCCGGGCCAGGAGUGGUAUGAUGUGCAUGUUUUUAAUCCCAGCACUCAGGAGGCAGAGGCAAGAGGAUCUCUGGGUUCUUGGACAACCUGGUCUAUAUGCUGGACGUCAGAUCCCUGUGGGGAUAUAAGAGGAUGUUUCCAGAAAGACCAAACUAAAAAGGAAAGUCCAACCCUGAAUGUGGAGGACAGCCUCCCCUAGGCUGGGCUCCCAGACUGAGUAAGAAGAAAAUGAGCUGAGCACGCUUCCCCCCUCCCCCUCUCUCUCCCCUACCCCCCCCAUACAAUGUGGUCAGUUACCAGCCAACCCCCUGCUGCGGUGCCUAUCCCUACCACUGUGAACUGUUCGCCCUUCCUAGGAACUAAA